rnacentral:lncRNA from 1 species
GGGAAUUUCCCUUUUCUCUUUAAGUAAGCUGCAUUGUAGCAAGAUGUUAGAGGAAUGCAGACAUUUUUAGAGUAAAUUGCCUCUGAGCAGCAUCCAGUUUUCUCCAUGUGUAGCUCAAAAUCAUCUUUGGGGUAGCUUCUGUAUCAUUCUUAGUCUGUGGAGUAUCCAAGCUCAGUCCAGCCUAAGUAUUCAUUAUUUGAAAGCUGAGCUCAGUGGACAGGUUUUAUUUGGACACCCAGGUCACAAGAUAUUCCUGUUUCCUAAUUUGGCAGGUUCACAUGAUGCAAAUCCAGACCAGGCUUGCUGAAAAUUUGUGCUAAAACCUGAUGUGGAAGCAGGAUCCAUCACAGGGACUCAGCCUCUCUGCACCACACUGUGUAUUAUGCAG